UCUCCUGCAUUGCAGGCAGAUUCUUUACCAUCUGAGCUACCAGGGAAGGCAUUUUAGAUACGACUUGACCCUUCUCAAAUAUCACUGAGAAAACUGCCAUAAAUUCUUUGAGAAAGGCUGCUGAUGGUAAAGGGACUGGUAAGGAAAAAGAAUGCACGUGGGAUCUCAGCUCCCCACUGGGACUCGAACUCGCACCCUCUGCAUUGGAAGAUAACGUUUUAACCACUGGACUGCCAGGUAAGUCCCUGGGCUUGGUCUUCUACUCAAAAUGGCUAAGUUUAGAUUCUUCUCCCAUAUAGGCCAUCACACUGACACAACAUUGUGGGUCAGGUAUGCCAGUAUUCUUGCCUGGGAAAUCCCAUGGACAGAGGAGCCUUGCGGGCUAGAGUUCUUGUGGUUGAAAAGAGCUGGACACAACUAAGCAACUGAGCACACAGCGCAUGCUCCUAUAAAUUGUUUUUUAAAAGUUUGUGUGUGUGUUAGUCAUUCAUGUGACCCCAUGGACUGUAGCCUUUCAGGUUCCUCUGUUCAUGGAAUUUUCCAGUGGCUAAGUUUAAAAAGAUAAAGGAGAGAGAGAGAGGAUGAGAAAGCUUUUAUCUUAAUUUCCCCCAUUAUUUCUAGUGUCAGGCUAUUAGAAAGUGUCAGCAUAGGGGUAAAGCUGAGAGAAAUCCAGUUCCAGAAGUCAGGAAAUCUUCCCUGGUGCAAAGCAAAGUAUCGACAGAAGGAAAACAAGCAGACAGGGGUGUCUCUAGGGCCAGUAGAAAUCAAGCAGAGAGGUUGGGUGCAGAUCUCAGACAUAAACAAGAGACCCUACACUUAUAGCUCCUUUCAUCCUAAACCCCAUAUUCCCAUUCUAGAGAUUUCAUCUGCCUCAAAUUCUUAGCAAUUUGGUUCUUUGACUUCUGGGCAACUUGCCCUGAUCACAGAAGCCACCACCAGCUGCUAUUGCUUUGCAAAAAG
ensembl:lncRNA